AAAUUUGAAAUGUACAUAAUCAUCCAAAUCUAUUUCUAUACUUAGUUUACAAGUUUUGGAAAUUAAACACGCUAUCAAAAAUCAUUUUAUGAAAUUGAUUAAAAAUUAUUACUAUGGUUGUGACUUGUGAGCUGUGAUCCAUGUAUUAUUAAUUAAUUUUUUGAUUACCAUACUCAAUUAUUACUGUACUAUGACUCGCCUAGUAAAACGAAAUUCACAUUUUGCUUCUUUAAAAAUAAAAAUGUGAAAGGAUGAAGCAGAGAAUACGACAAAUCAAAACUUACUGCCUCGUUCAUAGAUUUUCACAUUUAUAAUCACCAUCAAGAAUUGAUCUCAAGAUUUAAUUACAGUUCACUUCAAUCAAUGUGAAACAACGACACUUCACACAUCUUUUUAUGAUUCGUGAAAUUGAAAGGUGUUGUUGAUAGAAAGGGGUUGGUAGAAAAAAGACCACAACAAGGCCGGGCACGUGUGAGGAUUCCAUACGAAAAUCCCUAUCAAAUUCACGGGACUGGUGAGGUUGUAGUUGCCGAUCAUGUUUGUUUGUUAAAUUGUUGCUUUCUUUCCUUAUUAGGAUUAACUGUUUCCUUCUUGUUUUUUUAAUUAAACUGAUUGAUCCUAUCGCAACUGCCAUUUUGCAGACCUCACGUGAUAAGAACACAUGUUCCUUGCUCACCAGUCACCACACUUCAAAAAAAAAAAAAAAAGACGAGAUGGGGACUUGACUUUUACCCCGAGAAUUCCAUGGACCAAAUAAUUCAUUGCAUAUUCACUUAUUAAUAAGAUGAACAAAAGAAACGAAAGACGAAGGGUCUAAGAGAUAUCUACUAUGAAAUUAUUAUUAUUUUACAGUAAGUUAGAUAUUUGUUGAGAGACUUUUUUUUUUCUUUUUUUUUUAUGAUACACGGUUCAUUUCUUAAAGACUUAGAAUAACUUGAAUUUACUUUCAAAUAUUUGAAAGAAAAUUUUCUCCAAAGUCAAUCACUAAUUCUAAUAUGUAAAGCUAUAUUAAUAAUGUUCAUAGUCAAUGAAACUUUUAAGUGAAAUUAAAUGUUACCGACAACAUGUUAUAACCGUUUAAUUAGUAGCUAGUGUGGUUCUCGGCUCAUAAAA
rnacentral:lncRNA from 1 species